GGGAUUUGCCCAGCACUGAAUCGACCGUCCGAUCAACGGCGCGAGGAAGUGUAGUGUUCGGGAGGGCCUAUUAACCCGGCGUCGCGGGGCGAGUCCAAGUCCUUCUUGAACGGGGCCACUUACCCACAGAGGGUGCCAGGCCCGUAGGACUGCCGCCGACGUCGGAGAGGUCUCUCCCCAGAGUCAGGUUGCUUGAGAGUGCAGCCCUAAGCAGGUGGUAAACUCCAUCUAAGGCAAAAUAACACCACGAGACCGAUAGCAAACAAGUACCGUGAGGGAAAGUUGAAAAGAACUUUGAAGAGAGAGUUCAAAAGUACGUGAAACCGUUCAGGGGUAAACCUGAGAAACCCGAGAGUCUGAAACGGGAGAUUCAACGCGUCUCGUGCCGUCGACGCACACCUGUCCGCUUGACGAGCAAGCCGCGGCGCGUGUGGUAACACACGCGUCCGGCCGAUCGCAUCGGCUGAACGUCGCGCGGCCCGGAAUGCGUGCACUUCUCCCAAAGUAGAACGUCGUGAGCCGUUGAGCGCCGGUCUAAGGCCCGCUGGGUAGCCCGCGCGGUGCGUUCGCGCGCAUCGCUCGGACCCGCGGCGCCCGGCCUGCGCCCGACGGCACAACACAAGAGGCACGGAGUCGCGAACGCUCGCGUCCGGCCCGUCACAAGCGCGCCCGGUCAGCCCGGAACCUCGGACCCAGUGCCGAUUCUGGACCCGCGGCGGCUGCUGGUGGCGGCGCUCUCGGACAGUCUCCGCACAUGCCGCUCUACGACGCUUUAGCUAAGGUUACUUUCACGACCCGUCUUGAAACACGGACCAAGGAGUCUAGCAUGUACGCGAGUCAUUGGGAACGAGUUAAACCCAUUGGCGGAAUGAAUGUGAAGAGCCGCUUCGCGCGGCUUCAGGGAGGAUGGGAAUCCGUUUCUAAGGAGACCCCGCACUCCCGGGGCGUCUCGCACUCAUCGCGAGUUGAGGCGCACCCAGAGCGCACACGCUGGUACCCGAAAGA
rnacentral:rRNA from 1 species